UAACACAUGCAAGUCGAACGCAGUAGCAAUACUGAGUGGCAGACGGGUGAGUAACACGUGGGAAUCUGCCUUGUGGUUCAGGACAACAUUGGGAAACCGAUGCUAAUACUGGAUAAGCCCUUACGGGGAAAGUUUUAAUGCCAUAAGAUGAGCCCGCAUUUGAUUAGUUAGUUGGUGAGGUAAUGGCUCACCAAGACAAUGAUCAAUAGCUGAUCUGAGAGGAUGAUCAGCCACACUGGGACUGAGACACGGCCCAGACUCCUACGGGAGGCAGCAGUGGGGAAUCUUGCACAAUGGAGGAAACUCUGAUGCAGCGAUGCCGCGUGAGUGAAGAAGGCCUUUGGGUUGUAAAGCUCUUUUGUAGGGGAAGAUAAUGACUGUACCCUAAGAAUAAGGUCCGGCUAACUUCGUGCCAGCAGCCGCGGUAAUACGAAGGGACCUAGCGUAGUUCGGAAUUACUGGGCGUAAAGCGCGCGUAGGCCGUUGAGUUAGUUAAUUGUGAAAUCCCAAAGCUUAACUUUGGAACUGCAAUUAAAACUGCUCGACUAGAGUUUGAUAGAGGAAAGCGGAAUACAUAGUGUAGAGGUGAAAUUCGUAGAUAUUAUGUAGAACACCAGUUGCGAAGGCGGCUUUCUGGAUCAACACUGACGCUGAGGCGCGAAAGUAUGGGUAGCAAAGAGGAUUAGAUACCCUCGUAGUCCAUACCAUAAACGAUGAUUGCUAGAUGUUGGAAAUUUAUUUUCAGUAUCGCAGCUAACGCAUUAAGCAAUCCGCCUGGGGAGUACGACCGCAAGGUUAAAACUCAAAUGAAUUGACGG
rnacentral:rRNA from 1 species